rnacentral:rRNA from 1 species
UACGUAGGGUGCGAGCGUUGUCCGGAAUUAUUGGGCGUAAAGAGCUCGUAGGCGGUGUGUCACGUCGGCCGUGAAAACCUGCAGCUUAACUGUGGGCGUGCGGUCGAUACGGGCAUCACUGGAGUUCGGCAGGGGAGACUGGAAUUCCUGGUGUAGCGGUGGAAUGCGCAGAUAUCAGGAGGAACACCGAUGGCGAAGGCAGUUCUCUGGGCCGUAACUGACGCUGAGGAGCGAAAGCGUGGGGAGCGAACAGG